GAAGUUUUCCUGGCAUGAAAAAGUAAAUCAUGCACAAAGUUAGUUGAACAACAUUUUAUACAUCACUCAUCCUGUUACAUCCAUGAAGCUGAUCCAUUUCCCUAUAAGG
rnacentral:lncRNA from 1 species